UGUUCUUCCUGUCGCGAGGAAGCCAUUGUAGGCGGUGAAACAAUAAGGGAUCUAAUAGAGGUGGGAAGAAUUUCGGAGAACAUGGCGGCUAUGGGUGGGGACGAAAGGCAGAGGAUGGAGGCUCCGGCAGGGGACAAGUUCCCCGAGGGGCUGCGCGUGCUCGCUGUGGACGACGACUCCGUCUGCCUCAAGGUACUGGAGGACGUUCUGCGCCGCUGCAAAUACAACCCAACGACCGUGACAGACGCGAAGACGGCGUUGAAGAUGCUGAGGGCGGGGAAGGCAGAGUUCGACCUGGUGAUCACCGACGUGCACAUGCCAGGCAUGGACGGCUUCAAGCUCCUUGAGCUCAUCCACCUUGAGAUGGAUCUGCCCGUCAUCAUGCUAUCUGUGGAUUGCAACAAGAAGGCUGUGAUGAAGGGCAUAACACAUGGGGCGUGCGACUAUUUGGUGAAACCAGUGUGCACCAACGAGCUAAAAAAAUAUAUGGCAACAUGUUGA
rnacentral:rRNA from 1 species